rnacentral:rRNA from 1 species
GACGAACGCUGGCGGCGUGCUUAACACAUGCAAGUCGAACGGAAAGGCCCUGCUUUUGUGGGGUGCUCGAGUGGCGAACGGGUGAGUAACACGUGAGUAACCUGCCCUUGACUUUGGGAUAACUUCAGGAAACUGGUGCUAAUACCGGAUAGGAGCUCCUGCUGCAUGGUGGGGGUUGGAAAGUUUCGGCGGUUGGGGAUGGACUCGCGGCUUAUCAGCUUGUUGGUGGGGUAGUGGCUUACCAAGGCUUUGACGGGUAGCCGGCCUGAGAGGGUGACCGGCCACAUUGGGACUGAGAUAGGGCCCAGACUCCUACGGGAGGCAGCAGUGGGGAAUAUUGCACAAUGGGCGGAAGCCUGAUGCAGCAACGCCGCGUGCGGGAUGACGGCCUUCGGGUUGUAAACCGCUUUCGCCUGUGACGAAGCGUGAGUGACGGUAAUGGGUAAAGAAGCACCGGCUAACUACGUG